rnacentral:rRNA from 1 species
UACGAGGGGGCUAGCGUUGCUCGGAAUCACUGGGCGUAAAGGGUGCGUAGGCGGGUCUUUUAAGUCAGGGGUGAAAUCCUGGAGCUCAACUCCAGAACUGCCUUUGAUACUGAAGAUCUUGAGUUCGGGAGAGGUGAGUGGAACUGCGAGUGUUAGAGGUGAAAUUCGUAGAUAUUCGCAAGAACACCAGUGGCGAAAGCGGACUUCUGGGUUGUUACUGACGCUGAGGUACGAAGCGUGGGAGCAACGGG